rnacentral:lncRNA from 1 species
AGUCAAGAUUGCUGCUUGAUAUACGUAAAAGAUAAUGGAGCAGCAGUGUAACGUGAAAAAUAGGGUGGUAUCACCUAUCUAGUACUCCACCUUGGAAAUUUCCUAGAAAAAUACAGUCAUAUAAAUAAAUAUUAACUUGGUUUAUACUAUAAUAGUAAUCUGAUUAACCCAACCCUUUUUAACAUUUUUGUCAAGUAGCAUUUAUUCUUUAAGAUAAAACUGAAUGUGCUCUACAAUUUUAAUAUUUACCAUUUGCAAAAUAAUAGAAUUAUAAAACCUUAUACAGAAUUAGAAGUUAAUUUUUCAUGUGAGCAGUAUAAAAUUCAUGCAAACUGCAUGCAGUCUGUGGUCCCAGGAGUCAGCUUCCAUAGCUGCUAGGCUGGGCCUUUGUGCACACAGAAGUAGACACCCCUUUGUUUUGCCCCUCCUUCUCUUCUUCAGCAGUCAUUCAAUGACAAGCGUAAAAAGAACCUCUUUUCCCGAAAAUUUCCCUUCUACAAGAACAAGGACCAGAGUGAGCAGGAAACAAGUGAUGCUGACCGAGAUCCCUGACGACAUGGGAUCAAAAGGCCUGAAGCACGUAACUUCUAAUGCCAGCGAUAGCGAAAGUAGUUACCGU